rnacentral:rRNA from 1 species
ACACAUGCAGUCGAACGAUGAACCACUUCGGUGGGGAUUAGUGGCGAACGGGUGAGUAACACGUGGGCAAUCUGCCCUUCACUCUGGGACAAGCCCUGGAAACGGGGUCUAAUACCGGAUAACACUCCCUCUCUCAUGGGUGGGGGUUAAAAGCUCCGGCGGUGAAGGAUGAGCCCGCGGCCUAUCAGCUUGUUGGUGAGGUAAUGGCUCACCAAGGCGACGACGGGUAGCCGGCCUGAGAGGGCGACCGGCCACACUGGGACUGAGACACGGCCCAGACUCCUACGGGAGGCAGCAGUGGGGAAUAUUGCACAAUGGGCGAAAGCCUGAUGCAGCGACGCCGCGUGAGGGAUGACGGCCUUCGGGUUGUAAACCUCUUUCAGCAGGGAAGAAGCGAAAGUGACGGUACCUGCAGAAGAAGCGCCGGCUAACUACGUGCCAGCAGCCGCGGUAAUACGUAGGGCGCAAGCGUUGUCCGGAAUUAUUGGGCGUAAAGAGCUCGUAGGCGGCUUGUCACGUCGGGUGUGAAAGCCCGGGGCUUAACCCCGGGUCUGCAUUCGAUACGGGCUAGCUAGAGUGUGGUAGGGGAGAUCGGAAUUCCUGGUGUAGCGGUGAAAUGCGCAGAUAUCAGGAGGAACACCGGUGGCGAAGGCGGAUCUCUGGGCCAUUACUGACGCUGAGGAGCGAAAGCGUGGGGAGCGAA